rnacentral:rRNA from 1 species
AUCCGGGACGCCUGAAAUACCUAUUGGGUCCAGUUCGAUAGAGCGUUGAAAUGCUUGGAAGAGAUCAUGAUUAAGAACAAGGAAUCGGCAGGAGAGCCCACCGCCGGGGUUAUACUCGCGCCACGAGUGGUGACCACGAUUAUUUGGCCUAAAGUGUCCGUAGCUGGUUCGAUAAGUCUCCGGUGAAAUCUCAUAGUUGACUAUGAGGCGUGCUGGGGAUACUGACGAACUUGGGACCGGGAAAGGGCAGAGGUAUUUUUAGGGUAGGGGUAAAAUCCUAUAAUCCUAAAAGGACCACCAGUGGCGAAGGCGUCUGCCUGGAACGGAUCCGACAGUGAUGGACGAAAGCUAGGGGAGCGAUCGGGAUUAGAUACCCCAGUAGUCCUAGCCGUAAACGAUGCAAACUUGGUGUUGCCAGUUCUAUAGGAACAGGCAGUGCCGUAGCGUAGGUGUUAAGUUUGCCGCCUGGGGAGUACGGCCGCAAGGCUGAAACUUAAAGGAAUUGGCG